GGCUCGUUGGUCUAGGGGUAUGAUUCUCGCUUAGGGUGCGAGAGGUCCCGGGGUCGAAUCCCGGACGAGCCC
rnacentral:tRNA from 1 species